UCUUUCAGGCCUUUCCCAAUAACUGUACAAGAAUGCAGAAUGAAUCAGAACAGUCAUUUACAUUUCAUUUGAAUGCAGAGGAUACAGUCUGUUUGUCAGUGACUAAAGAGGACAAAACCAUAUCCUUUGAUUGAUUCAUUUAUUACUCAACUGCAACAACAAAAAAUGUGACUGCAACAAAGCUUUCUGUCCAGGUGAGUUUGUUUUAUACCCAGUAUUGAGUGUUUCGUCUUAGCAAGGACAUUGCCACAUUUUUGUAC
rnacentral:lncRNA from 1 species